rnacentral:rRNA from 1 species
ACACUCCUACGGGAGGCAGCAGUGGGGAAUUUUGGACAAUGGGCGAAAGCCUGAUCCAGCAAUGCCGCGUGUGUGAAGAAGGCCUUCGGGUUGUAAAGCACUUUUGUCCGGAAAGAAAUCCUUGGCUCUAAUACAGUCGGGGGAUGACGGUACCGGAAGAAUAAGCACCGGCUAACUACGUGCCAGCAGCCGCGGUAAUACGUAGGGUGCGAGCGUUAAUCGGAAUUACUGGGCGUAAAGCGUGCGCAGGCGGUUUGCUAAGACCGAUGUGAAAUCCCCGGGCUCAACCUGGGAACUGCAUUGGUGACUGGCAGGCUAGAGUAUGGCAGAGGGGGGUAGAAUUCCACGUGUAGCAGUGAAAUGCGUAGAGAUGUGGAGGAAUACCGAUGGCGAAGGCAGCCCCCUGGGCCAAUACUGACGCUCAUGCACGAAAGCGUGGGGAGCAAACAGGAUGAGAAACCCCGGUAGUCCCAUGAU